UCUCGGAAUAAUUCCAUGGGUUCAACACCGCUGUAAAGAUCACAUUCCCUUGCAAGAUCAACGGCCGGAAACGGUUCUCCAUUUGCUUUGCAUAGCAGACACUGUAGUAGUUCUGAGUCUGUGGGUUGAUAUCUGGAACCAACAGGAUGUACUUCUGCCAUGUACUUACUUGAUUGAAGAAAUUUAGGAUUCUAUGAAAAAGAAGAGAGAGAGAGAGAGAGAGAUCGGGGAUUUGAAUCAAUGUUGUU
rnacentral:lncRNA from 1 species